UGCGCGUCCUACCAUGCAAGUUCGAGCGAUUCUCUUAGGAGAAGAGCGGCGGACGGGUGAGUAACGCGUGGGUAACCUGCCCUGUUACACACGGAUAACAUACCGAAAGGUAUGCUAAUACGGGAUAACAUAUUUUGAUGGCAUCAUCGAAAUAUCAAAGCUCCGGCGGUACAGGAUGGACCCGCGUCUGAUUAGCUAGUUGGUGAGGUAAUGGCUCACCAAGGCGACGAUCAGUAGCCGACCUGAGAGGGUGAUCGGCCACAUUGGAACUGAGACACGGUCCAAACUCCUACGGGAGGCAGCAGUGGGGAAUAUUGCACAAUGGGCGAAAGCCUGAUGCAGCAACGCCGCGUGAGCGAUGAAGGCCUUCGGGUCGUAAAGCUCUGUCCUCAAGGAAGAUAAUGACGGUACUUGAGGAGGAAGCCCCGGCUAACUACGUGCCAGCAGCCGCGGUAAUACGUAGGGGGCUAGCGUUAUCCGGAAUUACUGGGCGUAAAGGGUGCGUAGGUGGUUUUUUAAGUCAGAAGUGAAAGGCUACGGCUCAACCGUAGUAAGCUUUUGAAACUGAGAAACUUGAGUGCAGGAGAGGAGAGUAGAAUUCCUAGUGUAGCGGUGAAAUGCGUAGAUAUUAGGAGGAAUACCAGUUGCGAAGGCGGCUCUCUGGACUGUAACUGACACUGAGGCACGAAAGCGUGGGGAGCAAACAGGAUUAGAUACCCUGGUAGUCCACGCCGUAAACGAUGAGUACUAGGUGUCGGGGGUUACCCCCCUCGGUGCCGCAGCUAACGCAUUAAGUACUC
rnacentral:rRNA from 1 species